UUAUAUAACAUUGUGGUUCUAAAAGCAGCACAUCAGUGCAGCUGGUUUCAAAGAGUUAAUUCUCAGAAACAAGAGUUAAAAGAUCCUUAAAUUAAUUUAGAAAAAAUAUAGCAAUUUACUGAUGUGGAAAAUAAGAAAUGUACUCUUAGUCUUACUUUUACUUAAAGUAAAUUUAAAAGCAUUUACUUUUAGACUUAAGUACCUUUUAAAAGCAAGUACUUUUCUACUCUUACUCGAGUAAUAUUUUGACUGAGCUACUUUUACUUGUAACGGAGUAAAUUUUGACCAGUAGUAUUUGUACUCUUACUCAAGUGCUGGGGUCGAGUACUCUGUCCACCUCUGGAUUUGCAUCACAAAUAUGUUAAUAAUUAUCUGCGUGUCCAGCAGUGUGUGACUGGCGGCUUUUGGCCAUCAAUGAACUCCCCUCCGGAUCAGCUGUUUGAUUCCCGCUGGGAUCUGUUGAGCUAUUUUGAGUUUUUCAAGUGCAGCGUUUACCUUUUGCCGCCCUCAAGUGGCCACAUAGGCCUUUCACCCCUCAGUCCAGAUUUAGACCAGAGUCCCUCCCAGAGAGUCGGACCCAGCUGUCUGAAGGCGACUGCUGGUUCACAGAUUUCCUCGUCAGAUUCCUGUUGCAUGGUCCAGGUCCCUCUCCUGCUCUUGUUCAGCGCGCCGGGACUGCUUCAUCUUCAGCGCCUCUUCCUCUGACAUGGUGACAGAGCCUUGCUCAGCUCUCUGGUGGACAGUUUUGUUGUCUUUGAUGCCCAGGACUCUGCCAGUCCCUGUGGCUCUGCAGACCUCUCUUCCUCUUCACCCAUGGAGCCUUAUGCGGAGGUUCCCUUGUUUGAAUUCGAUGACUACGAUGAGGAGGAUGUUCUCUCUGCAAAGAGCAAAGGUGCGUAUACAUACGCAGUGCACCCUAUGGUGCCCCCUGCAGGCGUGGAUCCAGACACCUUCAUUUAUAUGAACUUCAUGAAGACUCACUCGUGCUACGACGCCAUCCCCACCAGCUCCAAACUGGUCAUCUUUGACACAACAUUACAGGUGAAAAAGGCCUUCUUUGCUCUGGUGGCGAACGGCGUGAGGGCAGCACCACUGUGGGACAACAAGCUGCAGUGUUUUGUUGGUAUGCUGACCAUCACAGACUUCAUCAACAUUCUCCAUCGUUACUACAAGUCUCCUCUGGUUCAAAUCUACGAGCUGGAAGAACACAAGAUAGAGACGUGGAGAGAAAUCUACUUAAAAUGCUCGAUUAACAGACUCAUCAGCAUCACACCUGAAUCCAGUCUCUUUGAUGCCAUCUACUCCCUGUUGAAGUAUAAAAUCCACCGGCUGCCAGUCAUCGACCCAACAUCGGGAAACGUCCUCCACAUCCUCACUCACAAGCGCAUCCUCAAAUUCCUGCACAUCUUUGGAUCCAUGAUCCCUAAACCCAGGUUCCUUCACAAGAUGAUCAGCGAGGUGCCGAUCGGCACUUUCAAGGAGAUUGCAACAGUCCAGGAAUCUGCAUCUGUAUACGAAGCUCUCUCCAUUUUUGUUGAGAGAAGAGUGUCAGCGCUGCCUGUGAUCAACGAGCAAGGUAAAGUGGUGGCACUGUACUCCAGGUUCGAUGUCAUUAAUCUCGCUGCCCAGAAAAACUACAACAACUUGAACAUGACCAUGCGGGAGGCCAUUGCGUCCAGAUGCCACUGGGUGGAGGGAGUGCUCAAGUGUUACCCUCAUGAAACGCUGGAGACCAUCAUCGACCGCAUUGCAAAAGCUGAGGUGCAUCGGCUGGUGUUGGUUGACAAUGACGAUGUGGUGAGGGGAAUUGUUUCUCUGUCAGACCUCCUGCAAUCCCUGGUCCUCACCCCUGCAGGUAUUGACGCUCUGUACUCCUAACGACAACCCUUCCAUCCAUCCAUCUCCUCCUCCUUCAGUCCCACCCAUCCACCUAUCUGCCUUCCAAUCCUCGCAAGCUUCCUGCUGCCUAUGCUGAGUUUUUCAUCCUCCUGAUGGCUACAAGAGUCUUUCUUCUCAUCUUUCCAACCCUGGCAUGCUCAUCCCUCCAUGAAAUCUCCUCUUAAUCCUUUCAGCUGUCCUCUUGCUUUCCUGCCAAGAAUGGUUGUCCUUAUUACAGACCCACAUCCCUGAAGCAGCCAGCUCCUCCAAGAAAGCUUUUUUUUUACUUAAGUCUUCUAAGUCCCCCGCCACCUCAGAGACCUUUUUUUUUUUUGUUUUCUUGUUUGGAUUCUUGUUUGAGUUUAUCAGCUUCUUUCUUCCAACGUCGUAAUUCUCACCUGAAGAAUAAAACAAAACCUUGCAAAGAUAUCUCCUGCAAAAUUCAACAAAAGCAUCUAAAACAAAAACUUUCUCUACUGCAUAGCAAACUGAUACUUAAUCUUCCACUUAGACGAGAUUUGUUGGUUCCUGCACCUCCACCAGUUUCCUUUCGUUCCGCCACGCAGCUGAGAGAAUCCUCGAAACUUCUCCCCCAAAUCAGCCUCUUCAGCGUGACGUCACCCCCCCAUGUCUUUUCCCCAACGUCCCACGUUCCUCCAUUCAGCCCGCGACACCAUGCUGCACUUCAUCCGCCGAAACUACAAGAACCUGGCAGAUAUUUACAAGUGUCCAUCUUUCCAACACUGAAGAAAUCAAGAUAGUGGCUGGUGAUGUAUUACUUAAACUUUGAGGUAAAAAAAGGGAAUCAAGGGUUCAGGGGAGCAGAGCAGUGGCUGACGAAGCCUUUGGCUUCACAGAGUUGAGAAGCAGAAGCGCGUUCAGCCUCCACUAUCCUCGAGAACUAGAACGCUCUAACGGUUCCCAGUAGAACACCUUCCACUUUGGACCUGAUGAUGUGCUUCCUGACACUUUGGCUGCAAACGAACCUUUGAGUUGAUUUCUUAGACCAGGUUGUCGUUGCAACACAAGGACAGAGAUUGUGUUUAUUCGUAUGUUGGAAUUGAGAUUUUUUAUUUUUUUGGGGGGGUGGUAAAGUUUCUUAUCUUAUCCAUACACUGUGGAAAAUAAACAUCUUGCUGUGUUUGACCACCCUUAAAAA